CAAGGAAUAGUUUAAA
rnacentral:tRNA from 1 species